UACGUAGGGUGCGAGCGUUGUCCGGAAUUAUUGGGCGUAAAGAGCUCGUAGGCGGUGUGUCACGUCGGCCGUGAAAACCUGCAGCUUAACUGUGGGCGUGCGGUCGAUACGGGCAUCACUGGAGUUCGGCAGGGGAGACUGGAAUUCCUGGUGUAGCGGUGAAAUGCGCAGAUAUCAGGAGGAACACCGGUGGCGAAGGCGGGUCUCUGGGCCGAUACUGACGCUGAGGAGCGAAAGCGUGGGGAGCAAUCAGG
rnacentral:rRNA from 1 species